UUCCUAGAUGCUGCUCUGCUCCCAAAGAAGCUGGCCCUGAAGCAGUGGCCUGAGCCAUCACACCGUGGACAGUCAUGGGGAUGAUGAGCAGGGCACAGGGACAAGACAGGUUCUCAGACCACACAGACAAGUGCGUGUGAGGUCUAUUUGCGCUCCCUGUAACCUGUAACCCUGCAUGAACGUUGUAUUGAUACAAAUAGAACUAUAAAACAGGGAGGAAAAAAAGACUGCAUUUGCUUCCCUGCUAGACCAUGAAACCACUAAGAGUCGGAUCUGUGGCUGACUCAUCUUGCUUCAUGGCUUCUUGCUCUGGUGAGUUUUCAAUCCGCUUUUCUCGAAGGCUAUUGACUACAUUUUCUUUGAAAUAGCUCAGCUCCUGCCCAGCACCACCGAGGCAGAAAUCAGGUGACCACAGAGAAGACGGCAGGGGGCUGGGGCCUGCCCUACCCCCACACCAGUCUCAUUAACUUCUCUGCUUCCUUCAACAUGCAGCUGCAUGUGUUUUCUUUAGAACCACAUCCAAACUCCCCAGGUGGAGUCAGUCAUGCCCUCAAGCUGCCUGUUUUCCAUUGCACUGGGAUUAUUUGCUUAACCAUUCAGCAAGCUUACUGGGGGCCCACUGCGUGCUGAGUGCUGGGCCCUUCCGCUCGUGGAGUCCAGAGUCCAGUGAAGCACCAAGGCUCAGUGGAGAUGACUCCCAUGCCAGGGGUCAGGAGCAAAGAUGGCACUGUGCAGAGGACACCAUGGGCCCACUGAGGAAAGACGCCUCUCAUGGAAUGGACAGAGAAUCAAGAAAAACCUCCUGGAGGGAUUAGGCCCUAAAACAAACCCUAAAGAACAAAAAGGGGUUAUCUAGAUGCAGAAGUUAGGAAAGAGGCAGGGUCCAGACUGCAUGGAUCAGAGAGCAAAGGCAGAGAGGCAGUGAGGUCAGGGGAGAGAUGCACAGAGGGAAGAAUCAAAUCCCUCACCCACCAGGAGAACGGAAGGCUGGCCAGUCCAAAAGGGCUGAAGAAUCUGGCUGGUGGUAGAGUAGCAACUACUUAGGGGCAAGGCAAGAGAGGCAGGUAGGAACCAGGGCACCAAGAACUUUAUACUCCAUGUUAAAUGGGCAAAAGGGAGCCACUUGAAAAUCUGAAUGAGCAACUUAGUUAGAAGUGUAUGUGAGGCAGAUUGUGUGCUACAGUAUGGGAGAGGGAUUUCGGAGGGUGACACCGGAUCAGACACAUUAGUUAUGGGGGAAGUAAAAUAAUCAACAGAAGAGGCAUUAAAGGACUAAACUAGGGGAGUGUUGGCUGGGAUGCAGAGUAGAGUAUGAUGGAUGUUAAGAAGGUAAAAUUUGUAAUACUUGAUGUUCGAUUCCAAUGUGGGGACUAAGGGUGAAAAAUAAGUCGAUAGUGACUCUUGAGUUUCCCAAGUGGCACACAUGUGGAUAGCACCUUCCCAUCAAUUAGGACAGACAUGGCUUAUUCACCACUCCAUCCCCAGAGACCAGUACAGUUUCUAAGAUAUAGCCAGUGCUUCAUAAACGUUUCUGAAUGAAUGAAUUAGUCUAAGAACAGUCCUGCUUUACCUACUCCAAGGGGGCACCUGCACAGAGCACAGAGUGAAAGAUGUCCUGGAUUUGGGUAGCUGCAGACCCUGCAGAGAAACCCUCAACGUAAAGAUGGUCUCCUGUCCCAAUAACAUGAGCUUUACAGAGGAGGAUGCCAGCAGAGGACCCAGCUAUAUCAAGGAAUGGAGGAUAGCAAAUAACACAAACAGACAUGACUUGGAUCCUUGCUCCAUUCAGACCAUUGACAGCUCAAGGCUGUGGAAGAAGAAACAUAGGAGCUUGACCCAGAGAGAGAAAAGAUUUGGAGAUUUUAGUCAGCAACAGACACUGAAGGUGGGCAAGGUCAACAUUUACUACGUUAUGAAGAAGACCUUUAAACAAGGAGAUUCCCACCAUCUUCUUAGUAGGAAGUGGUUGUUGGAGGUCAAUGAAAUGGAAGCCACUUCCUGCAAAAGGGAUUUUGCAGAACUGUGGAUCCCCUUCCCUGAAAAAAAGACAACAAAUGCCAUCACUUCUCGGCCACAGGUGGAGACCCUGGCCAAGGAUACAUGACCAAGGAUACACGACAGAGCUACAGAUCAGUCCUGAACAGAAAUGCAACAGAACAGCCUCUUGUUUCCUCAGCCGCACUUCUAGACCGAAUUUCCUGCCCUGAAAUGCUGUCCACAGCCAGGCCAAGGAGCGGAAAAGAGAAGCCUUUUAAAAUUAGCAUACUAGCUUAUGGGGCGGUGGGAGGAGGGGGAUGAAAAGAAGGAUCUUGGAAGAGCUCCAGCUAUUUUAUUCCUGCUUUUUCAUUCCAGUUUUGGAGAUCUGGGACACAUUGAUUCACAACUUUAUAGUUCUUAUUCAGCAUUGAUUUAUGGGCUGACCAAUCUGGGCCUAAUCAGUCAGAGAAGGAUUGGGGUUUUUUUGUCCAAUAAUGUUAUAUUUACGAGUCCAUGAAGUGCACCGUGGCUGCAGCCCUGCCUGGAGUCAAUAGAACAGAACUUCUAAGAUCUCAGAGAAGGGGGUUCCCAGACCAUUUUCUGCCCCCAUAUCAUGCUUAAAGCUCCACUGUACAUUAGAGGCCCCUGGUGUCAUCUCACAUUUAAACUCCAAACGGCUUGCCUGUAAAUCUUUAACUACUGUGAACAGCUAUGACAGUCUCGAAUGUCCGUGGUUCUGUGCAUCUGUCACUCUUAUUUUCUUCUUUCCCUCUCUGACUGUGGAAGUAACUAACCCGCAGCUGGAUGCUCACUGGAUAUUUCACAGCUGCGGAGACCAGGGCAGCGUUUGUUCACUCAGAGAAGCCCAGCCAGGGCUGUGCGGAGUUCAGCGGGUUAUCAUGUGCUUCCGGCUUGAUUUGUGGUUAUUCUGGUUCAGUGACUAUAAAGAAAUGAGCAGCCUGGCUAGACAGGAACUAGUUGAGAAGCCUGCCGUGGAGGGGAGGAAACAGAAAUACUCAGACAGCAAGCAUCUUUAUGUUUUUCUUUGACGGGAAAGACAUUUUCCUUGUCACACUCUUGGCAGCUGUCUGUUCUCAGCCUCCAACUCUGGUUAGCCCCAGCCGAGUCAUUUAUCUGCAGGACUCCUCAGGCAGCAGUGUCCCUAACUCCCUGCCCUACCGUGGGUACCAGCAGUAAAUGUCCAUCACCAGCCUCGACUCCCUAAUUCACCUGACAAAGGAUUCCACUGCUUGAUUUAUCCUGAGGAGAGAAAAAUUCAGCAACAGCAAGAAACUUAGAAAAGCCAUAGGCAUCUGACAGAUGAAGGAAGAAAGCUGCCAAUUCUGCAUUUCAGAGUCUGAACCUAUGAAGCUGACCAGAUCUACCUGGAAAGAGAGAGUCUUGAAUGCCCUAGGAAGACUGCGAACCAUUACUGCGUGAACGAUCAGACAGGUCAUCAAGUCAAGGAUUGGCAAACUUUUUCUGGAAAGGGUCACGUGGUAAGUAUUUCCAGCUUUGAGGGUCACAUACAGUCACUGUCACAUCUUAUUUUUUCACUACAACUUAAAAAUGUAGGCCGGGCACGGUGGCUCGGGACUGUAAUCCCAGCACUUUGGGAGGCUGAGGCGGGCAGAUCACGAGGUCAGGAGAUCGAGACCAUCCUGGCUAACACAGUGAAAUCCCAUCUCCACUAAAAAUACAAAAAAAAAAAAAAAAAAAUUAGCUGGGCUUGGUGGCGGGCACCUGUAAUCCCAGCUACUUGGGAGGCUGAAGCAGGAGAAUGGCGUGGACCUGGGAGGCAGAGCUUGCAGUGAGCCAAGAUUGCGCCACUGUACUCCGGUCUGGGUGACAGAACGAGACUCCAUCUCAAAAAAAAAAAAAAAAGUAAAAGUCAUUUUCAGUUCACAAGCUGUACAAAAGCAAGUCACUGGUCGUAGUUUGCUGACCGCCCCUCACCCCCACCCGUGGUUUAGACAAACUAAAAUUGUUUUUUAUUUUAAAUUUUGUAUCCACUCGCGCUGUGCAUACAUUCAUGUGCAUGAGCGUGUGGCCUGACAGCUUCAGGCAGUCCCAACGCGCCACACCUCACCUUCCUAGGGUCGAAGUAACACUGGGAAACUCACUCCAGAGAGCCAAGACGCACUAUAGCAGAAAGAACACAGGCUUCAGGAGACAUGAGGUUUCCUCCCAGCUCAGUGCUGCAUCUGUUCUGUGCCCUGAGCCAGUCGCUUGCCCUUUGUGACCUUCCGAGAUCCAUUUGCAGGGUGAAGGGGGUCAGGCCAGGUGAUGUCCAAGCUCCCUCCCAAAUGUGAUAUUUCCUGUAGGCAUCCCAGACCCAUUUAGGACCAAAUGAGGAUGUAAGAGAAAGGAAUGGAUACAAAUGUCUUCUAUUCGUUCACUCUAGCUCAAAGCACAGCCAAUUUUGAGGUGACCACCCCCCACAUCAGAGAACCCCCUUUGGGAGCAGAGUGGCUGGCACAAGCUCUGCUCAGGGAGACCUGGGAGGAAUGCUUGUCAUCCUGGGGGUGCCAGCCACCCCUGCCAUGCUCACCAUGGAAACAAGCCAUGCGGCCCGCACACCAGGCCAAGAAUCUGGGCAGCUCGAAGGAGCCAUGCCAUUGUGGGCAGACACCGAGGCUCCCAGAAAACAAGCAAAGGCGAGGCCUGGAAGCUGCAGCGGAGACAGGUCAUCAUGACCUUCCCUCCCGGGCCACUGCCAGACUGGCCAGCGGACAGGUCUUCAUCUCCAUCCAGGCAGCCCAGGCAUCCCUCAGGAAGUAAGAGACGGAGCUCACCGCUGCCAGCAUGGGCCCAGGGACUGCUCCCUCCAUCAGCAUGUAUUGGGUACCAGCUACACGCCUAGAUGGCGUUGGGCAUUAUAGGGACAGGGUGGACAGGAUACAGUGCCUGCUCUGGAAGGAAUGGCUGGGUUGGAGAAUUAGCACCCUCCAGUGACCACAUGGGCAGCAGAAACAGUACCUUGUGUGUUCUGAAAGAAGAAGCUAGAGCUGAGGGCCUUGAAAGAUGUUCCUGGUGUCUCUCAGCAGGGGCUUUGCACAUGUACUUUAUGGAAAUGGUUUGAGCCCACGGGGCAUCCUGCCAGCCGUAUCCAUGAAUGCAAAGGUUAGAGUCAGCAUGCUUGAGCAAAGGAGGAGUAGGGACCUUGCUUUGUAGGAGGCUUAGUAAUAAUUUGGUAGCAAAUGCCCUUGGACCUUGGGAUACUAAUACGGUCACCAUAGAGACCUAUAGAAAUCCUUGCAUUUUCUAGUUCUCAUGCAGAGUUGGUUGUUGAAGUCAGAUGGUCUAAGGGGAUGAGAGAGGAGGGUGAUAACAUACAGUAACAGCCAAGUCACCUUGUACAUGGAAUGUGAUUAAUAACAUUGACCUUAAAGGGCCUAGGAGCCAUUGGUGCUUCAGAGCCAUCAAGUUGGACAGCCCACCGGCUUCUCUCCUCCUCUUUCCUUCACCUUGUCCUCUCCUUCAGCACCUCCUUUCUCCCUCCCCACAGGACACUGAUGCUGUGGCUGAUGGCGGAUGAGGGUAUUGGUAAGGCUCCUUGUUUUCCAGCUUUCUGCUCUAGUUUCCUGGCAUUUUCUCAUUUUUCAGAGACCUAGUGCUUCCAGAGAGCAACUUUGCCGCCACCCGGCGGGAGACCCACUAGCCAAAGGCAGCUCAACAGUUCCAGGGCUUUGACCUACUACCAAAAGGAAGUCUAACAGGAGAGGCAGCCCCAGGUGGUGGUACAGCCAGAGCCCUGGAGACAAACAGAUCCUGUCUCGUUCGGUACCAGCUAUGUGACCAUGGGCAAGUCACUUGACCUUUUUGUGCCUCAGUUUCCUGAUCAGUGAAAUGGGAGUGAUAGGCCCUACCUCCUAACCCCUUGCACACAGGGUUACUGCAAGGAAUAAAUGAGAUCCUAUAUGUAGAGCACAUAGCACAGGGCAGGGACCUGAUAGGAACCCAAUAAACACUUGUGCAGAUGUCCUUUUGGUAAAGGAAGACGGCCAAGGGCCAGUCCCUGGGAAGUAUGUGGCUAUGGUUUGAAUGUCUGUGUCUCCAAAAUCCAUAUAUUGGAAGCUAAGACUCCAAGUGAUAGUAUUAAGAGGUGGGGCCUUCAGGGAAGUGAUUAAGCCAUGAGGGCUCUGCCCUUAUAAAGGGCUAGAGGGAAUUGGCAAGAUGUUUUUCCUCAUGCCCUUUCACCUUCUGCCAUGUGAGGAUGCAACAAGGGGUGUCAUCUUGGAAGCAGAGACUAAGUCCUUACUAGACACUGAACGCACAGGUUCCUCAAUCUUCCCAGCCCCCAGAACUGUGAGGAAAUAAAUUUCUGUUGUUUAUAAAUUGCCCAGUCUCGGGUAUUUUGUUAUAGCAGCACAAAAAUACUAAGACUUAUCUGCCUUAUGGGCAGGCUGGCUUCCUGUCUCCCAGAAUGGCAAUGCACACUGGUUAGCCUGCCCUUGCCCAGGGCCUAGCAGUCCACCAAGAAGGUUCAGAAACCCCAUCUGUCUGUGCUCUGCAGCAGAGCCACUUCUCUGGGCCAGUCUCCCACAGCAUGUUCUCGUGGCAUAGACUGAGAGCCAAGGGGCGGCGGUCACCACAGGGUUCUUCCUGUGGCUAGCUCCAGAGAGCCAAGCCCACCUCUGCAGGCGUGAGCACUGCCCAUGUCACUCUCACUCUGUGGUGCCCCAUCUUCAGGGCCUCUGUGGCUGCGAUGCCCCUCCUCUGACUGACAGUUGCUCUCUUUAGCUAUCCCACUGCUUUGACCCACGGUACUACUUGCGCUGAUCAUUUGCCUACUUGCUGUCAGCUGCGUUCCCAGCCUUCUUUGCUCUGCUCUAGCAUAGCAGGGUGAGCCUCCACAUGCUGCAUUUCCCAGACGCCCUCCAACAGGCUUUCAGUGAGGUUCUGUGAAGAGGAGGCACUGCCAAAAGCCUGGAUAGUUCCUCCCUGCUGGCCUCUGGUGGGGUCUCAGGCAGUUGUGACAGUGCUAUUGACACCCAAGUGUGGCAGUGGCAGUGGCUGCAGUGUCAGGGGCUUUGGCCUAGCGGUGCCGCUCUUGGCUUCCUGCUGAAGCAGCUCGGUUCUACAGCCGUGGCUUGGAAUCAUACCGAUUCUGGUUUCCAAGGAGACGUUCCCCCUUGGCUCCUCCAGCCCACAGCUGGUGGCACUUUCCUGCAGCUGCUAGUCUUCGGAUAACCUUACCUGACUGCCACUGCUCCUCCAGUCCUUCCAUCACCCGGUUUCUGAUUCCUCAAUUAGAUCCCCUCAGUGUGAAAAACCAGGAGGGCUUCUGUUUCCUGACCUGACUUAUACACCACUUGAGUGACCAUGAUUCAUCUCUUCAGCAUGGUUUUGCACAUCUCUGUUCUGGCCUGCUGUGUGCUGAUUUUAAAGUUUAAUCUUCAGAAGAUAGCUUUGUUUUUAUUUCCCUUUUUCAAAGUUUUUAAAUGGAGCCACCCCGAGACCCCAAUGUUCCUCCUACCAUUCAUUCACUUCCCCUUUUUGAACUUUGGUGAAGCCAUAACAGCACUAAAAAAAGAAGUUAGGAGUGUAUGCCCUCGGACCCAGCAUCACACCUCUAGGAAUUUACUUACACAACAUAAUUACAGAAGAGUAAAAACAUGUAUGCUCAGAUAGAUUCAUUAUAGCAUUGCAUGUAAUAGUGAAAAAUCGGAAGCAUAAAUAAAAAACUGGUUAAGCAAAUUUUGCUUCAUAUAUAACAUUGCUUUUUAAAUGAAAGAUUUCUAUCACCUAUUAUCAAGAUUAAAAAAAAAACAGGUUACAGAACAGCAGGCCUACUAUGAUCAUAGUUAAGUAAAAUUGCACACGCAUAGGUAUUGUAUUUAGGCACAAAUGCUUCAAAGAGUAGUUGCCAAAAUAUUAACGGUGGUUAUCUCUCAAGUGUGGAGGAAACUUUGGGUGAGUUUUAUAUUCAUAAGCUACCUAGAUGGGUUCAAUCACUACAUCUGUAUUUAGGAUUUAUAGGCCAGCUCCUCUUUGUUCUUGAAAGAUUUCAGUCUUUUGUUGUUGUUUUUAAUCUAAUGCAAAAGAAGUCAGUUAAAAUCAGAAUGAAAUACUGUUCAAAUCAACAAAUGAAUAAAAACUUGAUGCUCCCA